CCAGCGCUGCUGUGGCUGACUGCUGGGUGGGAACCUGGACAUGGGGUGGGGGACAUAGUCGCUGCACACGUCACCGAAGUUCAGAGGUCAAGGGCAUCCCACACAAAAGCUACACGUUCCUAAGAAGUUUGACAAAAUCCCCUGUUGAGGAAGCUUACCCGGGGAUCAAAGGCACCAAACUGGGGUGAGCUGACCCGAGCACUCGCUAGCAGGGUGAAAGAAUUCAGUUGACGUCUCCAUGUACCUCAUCAUUUCUCUUCUGUUCCCCUGGAGAGUGGCUUUGUGUGGUAAAUAUUUAUGUGAUAUCUGAAUUAUUGGUGAUGUCAUACAUGCCCUUGUAUCUGAGAACAUACUGUGAUUUAGAACUAAAACUCUUUAUCAUCCCCAUUUCUGCUAAGUAGGAUCUACUCCUGAUGCAGGACCUUGGGAGGAACAUUUGGAUCCGAGAGAAAAAGGCCUGAGCUGCCCGGAGAGAAGGCGCCAUGACAGCUCCUUUCCCUCGUGUAGCACGAUGCCCAUUCUUCUGCGGCCUGUGACGUCUCAUCCCUGCCCCCCGCCACCCCGGCAUCUUGCCGCCCAAGAGCCCCAGAGCAAUGCCCAGCCAUUGCUGCUUCAUGUCACGCCAGGACCCUGGAGCGUCAUCCUCAGAGGAAUCCAGAUCCUGAUGGGGCUAUCCACGGGCUGGAUGUCUGGGCCACAUAUCAUGGUGCCGGAAAGCCCAGGAAGCAAGGGGCACGUGUAGAGGAGAGAAUCCUUGAAGGCAGGUAUCCACUGAGACGCCUCCCACAUUCGGCAGCAUCUCAUCUUUUAUGGGAUAUGGACGACUAUGGUAAUGGUGGAAAGACAGAGUUGGGCAGGAAAUCUGAAUGCUGUUAUAAUAUGGAGAGGGGACUUCUGCAUAUAAGUUUUGGGCAAGUUUC